rnacentral:rRNA from 1 species
GUUCUUUUGUUUAUAUAAAAGAUUUGACCUGCCCAAUGAUUUAUAUUUAAUGGCUGCAGUAUUUUGACUGUACAAAGGUAGCAUAAUCAUUUGUCUUUUAAUUGAGGUCUAGAAUGAAUGGUUUGAUGAAAAAUAUACUUUCUUUGUUUUAUAAAAUUAACUUAAUUUUUUAGUUAAAAAGCUAAAAUUUAAUCGUAGGACGAGAAGACCCUAUAGAACUUUAUUUUUGUUUUUUUAUUUUUAAUAUAGAAAAUGUUUUGAUUAUAUUGGAUAUAAAUUUUGUUGGGGUGACAGAAAAAAACUAAUAACUUUUAUCUAAUUUUAUCAUUUUAAGUGAAUUUUUGAUCCCUUGGUAAGGAUUAUAAGAUCAAGUUACCUUAGGGAUAACAGCGUUAUUAUUUUGGAGAGUUCUUAUCGAUAAAAUAGUUUGCGACCUCGAUGUUGGAUUAUAAUAAGAUAUAGGAGUAGAAGAUUAUAUUUUGGG